rnacentral:tRNA from 1 species
GCCUCGUUGGCUCAGUCGGUUAAGCGUCUGGCUUCAGCUCAGGUCAUGAUCUCACGGUUCGUGGGUUCGAGCCCCACAUCAGGCU